AACGAACGCUGGCGGCAUGCCUAACACAUGCAAGUCGAACGAGACCUUCGGGUCUAGUGGCGCACGGGUGCGUAACGCGUGGGAAUCUGCCCUUGGGUUCGGAAUAACAGUUGGAAACGACUGCUAAUACCGGAUGAUGACGUAAGUCCAAAGAUUUAUCGCCCAAGGAUGAGCCCGCGUAGGAUUAGCUAGUUGGUGAGGUAAAGGCUCACCAAGGCGACGAUCCUUAGCUGGUCUGAGAGGAUGAUCAGCCACACUGGGACUGAGACACGGCCCAGACUCCUACGGGAGGAAGCAGUGGGGAAUAUUGGACAAUGGGCGAAAGCCUGAUCCAGCAAUGCCGCGUGAGUGAUGAAGGCCUUAGGGUUGUAAAGCUCUUUUACCCGGGAUGAUAAUGACAGUACCGGGAGAAUAAGCUCCGGCUAACUCCGUG
rnacentral:rRNA from 1 species